rnacentral:rRNA from 1 species
GAUGAACGCUGGCGGCGUGCCUAAUACAUGCAAGUCGAGCGAACAGACGAGGAGCUUGCUCCUCUGACGUUAGCGGCGGACGGGUGAGUAACACGUGGAUAACCUACCUAUAAGACUGGGAUAACUUCGGGAAACCGGAGCUAAUACCGGAUAAUAUAUUGAACCGCAUGGUUCAAUAGUGAAAGACGGUUUUGCUGUCACUUAUCGAUGGAUCCGCGCCGCAUUAGCUAGUUGGUAAGGUAACGGCUUACCAAGGCAACGAUGCGUAGCCGACCUGAGAGGGUGAUCGGCCACACUGGAACUGAGACACGGUCCAGACUCCUACGGGAGGCAGCAGUAGGGAAGCUUCCGCAAUGGGCGAAAGCCUGACGGAGCAACGCCGCGUGAGUGAUGAAGGUCUUCGGAUCGUAAAGCUCUGUUAUUAGGGAAGAACAGAUGUGUAAGUAACUAUGCACGUCUUGACGGUACCUAAACAGAAAGCCACGGCUAACUGCGUG